ACAGCACCAAAGCCGCGAUGCUCACACCGCACAGGACGCCCUCGCGCGUCCGCCCUCGUGAGCGGGCUAAGGUCUGAGCAUUCCAAUCCCUCUCGAUCGACUCUAGCCGGGUCCGGUCUUAACAAACCGAGCGUCGCACCAGAAACUCAGUCCGCGCUGGGGUCGCAAGACUCCCCUUCGGGGCCCCGGAGAAGCGCCUCGGCGUCGAGGGGUGGCCAGCGGACUUUGGGAGACGGCGCAGGGAUCGGGCGCGUACUCGCCCCCUCGUCGGCCUGCGACUCGCUCGCAGGCUGAAAGGGUGUGCGCGUGCGCCGUCCUUUAGUGCACUUCGCGGCUCGCGUCCAUGGGGCCUCGCGCCCCUGCGAAACUCGAUUCAGACUACUCUGGUGCUGU
rnacentral:RNase_P_RNA from 1 species